GACGAACCGUGCAAACGUUGUUCGGAAUCACUGGGCUUAAAGGGCGCGUAGGCGGCCUUCUAAGUCGAACGUGAAAUCCCCGGGCUCAACCCGGGAACUGCGUCCGAUACUGGAAGGCUUGAAUCCGGGAGAGGGAUGCGGAAUUCCAGGUGUAGCGGUGAAAUGCGUAGAUAUCUGGAGGAACACCGGUGGCGAAGGCGGCAUCCUGGACCGGCAUUGACGCUGAGGCGCGAAAGCCAGGGGAGCAAACGGG
rnacentral:rRNA from 1 species